rnacentral:rRNA from 1 species
UGCCAGCAGCCGCGGUAAUACAGAGAGUGCAAACGUUGUUCGGAAUCACUGGGCUUAAAGCGCACGUAGGCGGCAUUGUAAGUGUCGGGUGAAAUCCCACGGCUCACCCGUGGAACUGCCCGGCAGACUGCAGUGCUAGAGUAUGGUAGGGGAGAGCGGAACUCAUGGUGGAGCGGUGAAAUGCGUAGAUAUCAUGAGGAACACCGGUGGCGAAGGCGGCUCUCUGGUCCAUAACUGACGCUGAGGUGCGAAAGCUAGGGUAGCGAACGGGAUUAGAUA